UACGUAGGUGGCGAGCGUUGUCCGGAUUUACUGGGCGUAAAGAGCGCGCAGGCGGUCGUACAAGUCGCGUGUGAAAGCCCCCGGCUCAACUGGGGAGGGUCACGCGAUACUGUUCGACUCGAAGGCAGGAGAGGGAAGUGGAAUUCCCGGUGUAGUGGUGAAAUGCGUAGAUAUCGGGAGGAACACCAGUGGCGAAGGCGACUUUCUGGUCUGUAACUGACACUGAGGCGCGAAAGCGUGGGGAGCGAACAGG
rnacentral:rRNA from 1 species